rnacentral:rRNA from 1 species
AUUGAACGCUGGCGGCAUGCUUUACACAUGCCAGUCGAACGGUAACAGGCCUUCGGGUGCUGACGAGUGGCGAACGGGUGAGUAAUGCAUCGGAACGUACCCAGAGCUGGGGGAUAACGCAGCGAAAGCUGUGCUAAUACCGCAUGUGAUCUGAGGAUGAAAGCGGGGGACCGAGCAGCAAUGUUUGGCCUCGCGCCUUUGGAGCGGCCGAUGUCGGAUUAGCUAGUUGGUGGGGUAAAGGCCUACCAAGGCGAGGAUCCGUAGCUGGACUGAGAGGACGACAGGCGACCUGGGGACGGAGGCACGGCCAAGACGCCUGAGGGAGGCAGCAGUGGGGAAUUUGGGGCAAUGGGCGCAAGCCUGAUCCAGCAAUGCCGCGUGCGGGAAGAAGGCCUUCGGGUUGGAAACCGCUUUUGGCAGGAACGAAACGGUGUCCGCUAAUACCGGGCGUUAAUGACGGUACCUGGAGAAUAAGCACCGGCUAACUACGUG